ACUUUCAACCACUAGUGUAGUGGUUAUCACGUUCGCCUAACACGCGAAAGGUCCUCGGUUCGAAACCGAGUGGAAACA